CUUCCCCUGAGCCCCUGGCAUGUGCACCUUACUGCCUACUGGAUGCCGACUCUUCCCAGAAUCCAAAAGCUCACAGAAUCUUCCCCAAGUGCAUCGGCCCAGAGCAUCCAAGGUGAAGCCAUUAUCUUCUCAUCCAAAUCUGAAACCACUGGUGACCUGGACAAAAUUGGACCAAAGACGGGGCUUUGCUAUGUUGCCCAGGCUUGUCUCAAACUACCGAUCUCAAGUGAUCCUCCUGCCUCGGCCUCCCAAAGUGCUGGGAUUACAGGCAUGAGCCACCAUGCCCAGCUGCCCUGACUGUUAUGACCAGGAGAGGACAUCUGCUGGAGACCGGCCGAGGUGAAGUCUUUGACCAUGGCCAAAAGUGAAAGCCACAGCCCACUCUUGGUCUCUCCCCCUGGGCUGGCCACCUGCAGGGACCGUGUGGCACUGGGCUCCCUCUGUGCAUGAAGGGCUGUGCUCCUUGGUCCCUGGAGGGAGUGGCGGCCGUGUGGUGUGCCUUGGCGAUGAAAUGUGAAUACAGCAAUGCUGGCCACAUCCUCUAGGGAGCAUUGAAUGCUUGCGUGACACUCACCAAGGUCGUGGAGGCCCAGUCAUGCCCCAGAGGUCACCCAGAGCCUGGUGCCCCUUACAGGAGCCAGAAAUAAACCUGUGCUGUUUUCCAUCCUUUGACUUUCAGCAUUUCUGUGAUAUCAUAAGGAGCAUAUAGUUUGAUUAAAAAAAAUCGAGUCUGAAAAUCUUCAUCUUUGAAUUGGAGUAUUCAGUCCAAUUUUCGCCAUAUUAGUCCAACCUUUAACACUUGUUAUAUAUUGUUUA
rnacentral:lncRNA from 10 species